CUUGGCUUAGGAAUCAAUAAGACCAAAGCUGAUAUUUCAAGGAGACUUUGUUUUAUGCUUUCAGUUUGUGCGUUCUUAGAAGCAAGGCGUUUGAGUCAUGGUGUUCUUUACGAGUCCUGGUACUUCUGCGUCGUUGGUAGUUGGAACCUUCGAGAAACUGAUCUGAAGUGACAUAAGAAUUUUGGAAAAGUGACCUAACGAGAACUACCAGAAACUUCUAAUAAAUUCAUGAACUCACACUUCAACAAUGAAGUCUUAAAAGGUCAGUCUGCCAGUUCGACAAUAAAGUCGAGAAAAAAGUAUAGACUACCGUACACUUUAUGGGAGGAAGCUUUGCUGAAUUAUAAAGCGAUCAGAACUAUAGAGGAAGAGAAAGUACUGAAGGUGUUACUUCUCCUGGCUUGCCAAAAGACGCUUUUUAGAGUUCUUCUAGAAUUUCUGGUUAGAAUUUUAUUUCCUCCUGACCUGUGAUGCAAUGUAGAUAAGCCUUCAGGAAAUUUUGAUUUUAAAAUCAUUUUGGUCAAAACGCUACGCUUGGAUGUAGACUUAUGUUUCCUUAAUGCUUUAAAUUCCUGGAUAUGAAAUAAAGGAAUCUUGUAAUCUGGCUUUUUGAAAUAUCUAAUAUAUUAUUGUAGUCUCUUGAAAAGUAAACGGUUUGUAAAAGCAA